CCCCGAUGUCUCCCCCCCUCUUUUCCCCUGCAACGCAGCAGCUUUCAGAUUGUGGCGCCUUCAGAAGGAGCGUCUGGAGAAAGAGGAGAUUCGCGCCCAGGAAGCUCUCGCCCUCCUGGAGAAAAAGAGGCUGGUGAGCGCGUUUGAGGCCUGGCGUUCCCGCUACAGGGCAGCCCGGCGGAUCCUGCCAUUGGUGGCUCAGGUGCAGAGAGGGCUGCUAAGCCGGAAGGCAGCUCGGAGGACGGUAGCCAGGCUAGCAUCUCCUCGUCGUUGACGAUUGAAGACUCAGGGCACCUUCCUCAUCACGGCUCCCCUUCUCCCAGCCAUUUCCCCAGUGACUCGCAAGAUCUCGCUGCCACAGAUCUUCACAUGCAAGCGCCGUUCCCUCUGGGUUAUGGCCACACCCAGAAUCGGAGGCAGCUGCUGGCGAAAUGCUUUGCGUUUUGGUCGGCCAGGACUGUGCAAAACCUGAAGGCAGAACAACACCGCAAGCGGGCUCUCCUCUCCGGAUCUCAGGCCCAACUGAACAGGCCUCGGUCCAGUAUACCUGAAGGAGC